GACGAACGCUGGCGGCGUGCUUAACACAUGCAAGUCGAACGAUGAAGCCGGAGCUUGCUCUGGUGAAUUAGUGGCGAACGGGUGAGUAACACGUGAGUAACCUGCCCUUGACUCUGGGAUAACUGCGGGAAACUGUAGCUAAUACCGGAUACGACCCUCGGAGGCAUCUCCUGGGGGUGGAAAGAAUUUCGGUCAAGGAUGGACUCGCGGCCUAUCAGCUAGUUGGUGAGGUAAAGGCUCACCAAGGCGACGACGGGUAGCCGGCCUGAGAGGGUGACCGGCAACACUGGAACUGAGACACAGCCCAGACUCCUACGGGAGGCAGCCGUGAGGAAUAUUGGACAAUGGACACACGUCUGAACCAGCCAUGCCGCGUGCAGGAUGACGGUCCUAUGGAUUGUAAACUGCUUUUGUACGAGAAGAAACACUCCUUCGUGAAGGAGCUUGACGGUAUCGUAAGAAUAAGGAUCGGCUAACUCCGUGCCAGCCGCCGCAGUAA
rnacentral:rRNA from 1 species